ACGUGAAAUUCCGUCGGAAUCUGGGAGGACCAUCUCCUAAGGCUAAAUACUCUCUAGUGACCGAUAGUGAACCAGUACCGUGAGGGAAAGGUGAAAAGCACCCCGGAAGGGGAGUGAAAUAGAACCUGAAACCGUGUGCUUACAAGUAGUCAGAGCCCGUUAAUGGGUGAUGGCGUGCCUUUUGUAGAAUGAACCGGCGAGUUACGAUUUGAUGCAAGGUUAAGCAGUAAAUGUGGAGCCGUAGCGAAAGCGAGUCUGAAUAGGGCGUUUAGUAUUUGGUCGUAGACCCGAAACCAGGUGAUCUACCCUUGGUCAGGUUGAAGUUCAGGUAACACUGAAUGGAGGACCGAACCGACUUACGUUGAAAAGUGAGCGGAUGAACUGAGGGUAGCGGAGAAAUUCCAAUCGAACCUGGAGAUAGCUGGUUCUCUCCGAAAUAGCUUUAGGGCUAGCCUCAAGUGAUGAUUAUUGGAGGUAGAGCACUGUUUGGACGAGGGGCCCCUCUCGGGUUACCGAAUUCAGACAAACUCCGAAUGCCAAUUAAUUUAACUUGGGAGUCAGAACAUGGGUGAUAAGGUCCGUGUUCGAAAGGGAAACAGCCCAGACCACCAGCUAAGGUCCCAAAAUAUAUGUUAAGUGGAAAAGGAUGUGGCGUUGCCCAGACAACUAGGAUGUUGGCUUAGAAGCAGCCAUCAUUUAAAGAGUGCGUAAUAGCUCACUAGUCGAGUGACACUGCGCCGAAAAUGUACCGGGGCUAAACAUAUUACCGAAGCUGUGGAUUGUCCUUUGGACAAUGGUAGGAGAGCGUUCUAAGGGCGUUGAAGCAUGAUCGUAAGGACAUGUGGAGCGCUUAGAAGUGAGAAUGCCGGUGUGAGUAGCGAAAGACGGGUGAGAAUCCCGUCCACCGAUUGACUAAGGUUUCCAGAGGAAGGCUCGUCCGCUCUGGGUUAGUCGGGUCCUAAGCUGAGGCCGACAGGCGUAGGCGAUGGAUAACAGGUUGAUAUUCCUGUACCACCUAUAAUCGUUUUAAUCGAUGGGGGGACGCAGUAGGAUAGGCGAAGCGUGCGAUUGGAUUGCACGUCUAAGCAGUAAGGCUGAGUAUUAGGCAAAUCCGGUACUCGUUAAGGCUGAGCUGUGAUGGGGAGAAGACAUUGUGUCUUCGAGUCGUUGAUUUCACACUGCCGAGAAAAGCCUCUAGAUAGAAAAUAGGUGCCCGUACCGCAAACCGACACAGGUAGUCAAGAUGAGAAUUCUAAGGUGAGCGAGCGAACUCUCGUUAAGGAACUCGGCAAAAUGACCCCGUAACUUCGGGAGAAGGGGUGCUCUUUAGGGUUAACGCCCAGAAGAGCCGCAGUGAAUAGGCCCAAGCGACUGUUUAUCAAAAACACAGGUCUCUGCUAAACCGUAAGGUGAUGUAUAGGGGCUGACGCCUGCCCGGUGCUGGAAGGUUAAGAGGAGUGGUUAGCUUCUGCGAAGCUACGAAUCGAAGCCCCAGUAAACGGCGGCCGUAACUAUAACGGUCCUAAGGUAGCGAAAUUCCUUGUCGGGUAAGUUCCGACCCGCACGAAAGGCGUAACGAUUUGGGCACUGUCUCAACGAGAGACUCGGUGAAAUCAUAGUACCUGUGAAGAUGCAGGUUACCCGCGACAGGACGGAAAGACCCCGUGGAGCUUUACUGUAGCCUGAUAUUGAAAUUCGGCACAGCUUGUACAGGAUAGGUAGGAGCCUUUGAAACGUGAGCGCUAGCUUACGUGGAGGCGCUGGUGGGAUACUACCCUAGCUGUGUUGGCUUUCUAACCCGCACCACUUAUCGUGGUGGGAGACAGUGUCAGGCGGGCAGUUUGACUGGGGCGGUCGCCUCCUAAAAGGUAACGGAGGCGCUCAAAGGUUCCCUCAGAAUGGUUGGAAAUCAUUCAUAGAGUGUAAAGGCAUAAGGGAGCUUGACUGCGAGACCUACAAGUCGAGCAGGGUCGAAAGACGGACUUAGUGAUCCGGUGGUUCCGCAUGGAAGGGCCAUCGCUCAACGGAUAAAAGCUACCCCGGGGAUAACAGGCUUAUCUCCCCCAAGAGUUCACAUCGACGGGGAGGUUUGGCACCUCGAUGUCGGCUCAUCGCAUCCUGGGGCUGUAGUCGGUCCCAAGGGUUGGGCUGUUCGCCCAUUAAAGCGGUACGCGAGCUGGGUUCAGAACGUCGUGAGACAGUUCGGUCCCUAUCCGUCGUGGGCGUAGGAAAUUUGAGAGGAGCUGUCCUUAGUACGAGAGGACCGGGAUGGACAUACCUCUGGUGUACCAGUUGUCGUGCCAACGGCAUAGCUGGGUAGCUAUGUGUGGACGGGAUAAGUGCUGAAAGCAUCUAAGCAUGAAGCCCCCCUCAAGAUGAGAUUUCCCAACUUCGGUUAU
rnacentral:rRNA from 2 species